rnacentral:misc_RNA from 1 species
GAUGAAGAACGCAGCGAAAUGCGAUAAGUAGUGUGAAUUGCAGAAUUCAGUGAAUCAUCGAAUCUUUGAACGCACAUUGCGCCCUUUGGUAUUCCAAAGGGCAUGCCUGUUCGAGCGUCAUUUGUACCCUCAAGCUUUGCUUGGUGUUGGGCGUCUUGUCUCUAGCUUUGCUGGAGACUCGCCUUAAAGUAAUUGGAAGCCGGCCUACUGGUUUCGGAGCGCAGCACAAGUCGCACUCUCUAUCAGCAAAGGUCUAGCAUCCAUUAAGCCUUUUUUUCAACUUUUGACCUCGGAUCAGGUAGGGAUACCCGCUGAACUUAAGCAUAUCAAUAAGCGGAGGA